UGGGAAGCCGCCCCGCCUCUCCAAGACCUCCCUGCCCCGUCCCGCCCCGCCCCGUUCCCGGCGAUAAGCUCUGAGCCGCUCUGAGCUGCGCAGGGUGGCCAGGGGUGAGUGUCCACGAGGGUCGUGCGUCACGCAGACCAGGACGGGUCCGCGCUGGGGCGCCGGCUGUCAGUAUGCCUUGCAGGGACCAGGGGACAAAAUGGCGGCGGGGUUCGCCUCUUUAACUUUCACAGUACUUUAUCACUCUUAAAACUUGAAGUCAGUUUCAGACUUGUUUAUUUUUCACAUUCUAUUUAUUUGAAACCGACAAAAAGCAAGAAAACAUUGAAAAUACACCAAUGGCAGCUGGUUUCUUAAAAGCCAGCAAGGGAAAUAAUGUCUCCUAGGAAGACAGCUGUUACAAUCUUACGUGUCAUAAUUACAUAUAGCAUGUCACUUUUGUUGUGCUCUACAGGCUGGAACAAAGUCACAAGUCUGACCUAAACUCAAAGGUAGAAGAGUAUGCAAGAGCAAAAGCAUGAGAUGGAAACCAUGGGGCCAUCUUAGAGUCUGUCUGCCGCAGAAAGAUGAACACAAAUCCUGCCUAGCUUCAUCAAUGUCCAGCCUCCAGAGGGCCUUCCCAGGAGGGUAUAGGUUAAUACAAGCAAGUGGUGGUCUGCAUAGCUGAGCAGAAUCUGCUAUGUUUCUGAUAAAUUGUGAAGAGUCACAGACCUUUGUCUAAUGAAGGGCCUCAAGCUCCUACUGGUAAGAAUUUGACCUUUUAUUCAAAUUAAAAUGGGAAACCUCUGCAAGGUUUGAA
ensembl:lincRNA